rnacentral:lncRNA from 1 species
CCACUCCCAAUUCAAUCCCAACUUCCAGCUCGGCGGCUCCCAAUUCCAAACUUUGAAGCAAAACCCAAUAAUUUGCUCCAUUCAUGACGACCAUUCUUGACUCGAUUCCAUUCGCCAGCGAUUCAACCACCUCAAACGAAAAACAAACAGCAAUAUCGUUCUCCACUAACUUCAAAUGUCUGCGUCUACCACUAUUUAGAAUGAAAGGAUCGGAUUGCUCUUAAAUAAAUGCAAUGUUUGGUUUAAAAAAAAUACUGUCAAUGAGAUUUCUGUUGAAUUCUUUGGGCGUCUAAAGUUAGCGAAUUCCCC